rnacentral:rRNA from 1 species
GACGAACGCUGGCGGCGUGCUUAACACAUGCAAGUCGAACGGAAAGGCCUCUUUCGGGGGGUACUCGCGUGGCGAACGGGUGAGUAACACGUGAGUAACCUGCCCUUGACUUUGGGAUAACUUCAGGAAAAUGGGGCUAUUACCGGAUAGGAGAUCCUGCUGCACGGUGGGGGUUGGAAAGUUUCGGCGGUUGGGGGUGGACUCGCGGCUUAUCAGCUUGGUGGUGGGGGAGUGGCUUACCAAGGCUUUGACGGGUAGCCGGCCUGUGAGGGGGACCGGCCACAUUGGGACUGAGAUACGGCCCAGACUCCUACGGGAGGCAGCAGUGGGGAAUAUUGCACAAUGGGUGGAAGCCUGAUGCAGCAACGCCGUGGGCGGGAUGACGGCCUUCGGGUUGGAAACCGCUUUCGCUCAUGACGAAGCUUUGUGUGACGGUAGUGGGUAAAGAAGCACCGGCUAACUACGUG